rnacentral:lncRNA from 1 species
CUUGAUACAGCUGGUUUAAAAGACUUAGACAGUUGAGGAUCCGGAUGGACGGGGUGUCUAUCGACACUUUCAAGCUGUUGUCGAUCUCAUCAAUCUCCCAUUUGGCUUCCUUUUCAUCGGGAUCGGAUUGCAAUUCUUCUAACUCUUCAGCUCGAUCUAAUUUCUCCAUUUCUUUUCUCGGAUGUGGGUUGAGUUGUCUUCCACUUCUCAAUGUAAUGACAUUAACCAAGUGCCUUGGAUUAGUGUCAAUUCUUCCACGAAAGAAUCCUUCUUCCCUUCUGACAAGCCCAAUGUUAUGCAU